rnacentral:tRNA from 1 species
GCGUACGUGGCCACGUUUGCGCGCUGGACAUUCCGCAUCGUCGAGCGUGAGUGCUAUACCGCCUGUUCAGAGGUGCCCGCCAGCCUCAAGAGCUGGCGGGGCAACCCAUCCCGGUUCGAGUCCGGGCGUUCGCA